GACGAACGCUGGCGGCGUGCUUAACACAUGCAAGUCGAACGGAAAGGCCCUGCUUUUGUGGGGUGCUCGAGUGGCGAACGGGUGAGUAACACGUGAGUAACCUGCCCUUGACUGUGGGAUAACUUCAGGAAACUGGGGCUAAUACCGGAUAGGAGCUCCUGCUGCAUGGGGGGGGUUGGAACGUUUCGGCGGUUGGGGAUGGACUCGCGGCUUAUCAGCUGGUUGGUGGGGGAGUGGCUUACCAAGGCUUUGACGGGUAGCCGGCCUGGGAGGGUGACCGGCCACAUUGGGACUGAGAUACGGCCCAGACGCCUACGGUGGGCAGCAGUGGGGAAUAUUGCACAAUGGGCGGAAGCCUGAUGCAGCAACGCCGCGUUCGGGAUGACGGCCUUCGGGUUGUAAACCGCUUUCGCCUGUGACGAAGCGUGAGUGACGGUACUGGGUAAAGAAGCACCGGCUAACUACGUG
rnacentral:rRNA from 1 species